rnacentral:RNase_MRP_RNA from 1 species
GAGUUCCCUCGAGUAACGCGGCGGAGCCACAAUCGGAGUUCUCAGUGACUCUCAAUGCUCUGAGGAAAGUCCCUGGACCUUGGACAGAAAGUGUUCGUAGCAUCGCCGUUACUAGCCUCUCGUCGUCUUUCUCGAACUUGAGACAGGAAGCUUCGGCCGAUCUUUUCGGGUUAGGACGAGAGUGUAUUGGUCAGAGGAAAGUAAUGCGUUUCAAAUCAAAAAAUUCUCUCUUUCAAUCUCCCUUUGUGGAGAGAGAAACUGAGAAUUUGUCCAACUAAACAGGGCUUACUACGAGGGAAAA